AGUAACACGUGGAUAACCUACCUAUAAGACUGGGAUAACUACGGGAAACCGGAGCUAAUACCGGAUAAUAUAUUGAACCGCAUGGUUCAAUAGUGGAAGACGGUUUUGCUGUCACUUAUAGAUGGAUCCGCGCCGCAUUAGCUAGUUGGUAAGGUAACGGCUUACCAAGGCAACGAUGCAUAGCCGACCUGAGAGGGUGAUCGGCCACACUGGAACUGAGACACGGUCCAG
rnacentral:rRNA from 1 species